GCCGACGUAGCUCAAUCGGCAGAGCGGCUGUCUUGUAAACAGCAGGUCAGGGGUUCGAUUCCCCUCGUCGGCUCCA
rnacentral:tRNA from 1 species